CUUCGAUGAGGCUCUUCCUCUUUCCUAUGUCAGAACCGAUGAAUAGGGUAAAAAUUACACCUCUUCUUUUGCUUGUCACACAAUGGGUGAAUUCUUCUGAGUGGCAGGAACAGCUAUCUCUCAUACUAUCCUUGCAUUGGUUUUUGUUUAUGCUGUAAGACAUUGCCAGAUUAUGGAAAUGCAGCUCUGAAUAGAAAAUAGAGGACUUUGUUGAAGUACCAAAGUUAAUUUGAUAAACUGAGACCCUGCAUUGUAAAGAGACAUGGAGGCUGUUUUAGGACUGUUGGUGAUGUCAGCAGGAGUGUCUCAUGGCUUGGAAACUUCCUGUGAUGCUAGAGAAGAUGGAUCUCAGUGUUAUGGAGCUCUGGGAGGAACUGUCUAUCUCCAGCUGACUGAUACCAUGGCAUAUAAUCACUACUCAUUUUAUAAAGGCUCAACUGGUGCUAAAACAGAGAUACUGAAAACAAAGGUCACACUGCUCCAGUGUCCAGUCCUCAGCUGUCCUCUGAGUGUCUGUCUCAUGGAGAGAUGAGGGUGUCCUGCUCCUCUGAGGGGGAUGGUUCCCAGUACAGCUGGACUCUGGAUCGACAGACGCUGAGACACACUAAGGCCUCUUCUGAUAACGAGACAAACACCAUCACUCUGAAGAAAGGCCUGUCAGGAAAUCUCACCUGUACCGUCAGAAACUACAUCAGCAGUGAUUCUAUCAGCAAGAGAAUCUCACCUUGUCCAGGAGUCAGUGUGUUUGUUUAUUUCCAACUCGCUGAAGUCUUCAUUCUUCUGACAGUCUGUCUGGGAUCAUACUGUUUCUACAAGAAGGAAACCUAUCAUCGUAAAGAAGUAAGCACAGAGUGUAUGCAGUCUCAGGUGGAUCAUGGUGGGACUCAGAUGAGGGUGUUAAUGUCCUGAGAGGUGCUAUGGAGACCAACUAGGCUGUGAGAUU
ensembl:lncRNA